rnacentral:lncRNA from 1 species
GUUGUCUGUUUCAGGUGGAGAGUGGAGCAUUUGGCGGAGUCGCGAAGGGAUUGGCUUAAUUUCCAUCGGUUUACCUCCAUCAAUCAUACCAUACGAUAUCGUCGUCUGUGCAGUGACUCAGAGCUGCAACUAAUCCGUUGUCGUAGUGGAGAAAGUGGCACUCGUCACCUCGAGGAUGUUCCUCCACAAAUUCUUUGUCCUGCUCUCCGCUGCUCCUCACCACCGUCUUCAUGUUCGGCGCCAUGAGAAAGUUAUUCGGACGCACUUUGAGCGAACGAAUAAUGGGCGUGAUUUUCACGAGGGCCACUCCGCUUCGUUUUGGGACUGGCGUUUCGUUGAAGAGGAUCUUCGGGCACGAAACUUCUAUGGCGGCGGAUGUAGACGACCUCGUACUCAUCGACUUGUGACGAAUUGUCCACGCCGAAUGUCCGUCCCAACUCGUCGACAUUCAUCAACGUGUGCAAAGUGCGCAACAACUAAUACAGAAAAAGGUAAGUCUUGCAAACUAUUUACAAUGGAUGGACUAUAUAAAGGUUUACCUUUGAGGGCUUUGUGAGCACUCCAGCUGAUGCCAAGCCGAUGGCGCACAAGAACAGAAUCCACUUCAUAUUUAGUUUUGAGCUCUGAACAGCUACUGAUUCCCAACUGGUGUGGCGCGUUGAACUCUACUUGUUGCUACCUGCCAACAACAUCUGUCGCCUAUAUAAUACAAUAAUAACACGGAACUUCACGCAAGGACACCGCUAUUUAAUAUUUAUCAUUUCAAUUGACGAAUGGAAUAUCCUGGUAAACGGUCCUGGUCUGGCGGAAGUGGGUGUUGUCACGACGGGUGGCUAUGCAGCGGUAGACUCCUUCAUCGCGGGCCGCAUAUUCUCCAAUGACCAGCCGGGAACCCACUGCCGAUUGUUGGCGGAUGGAAAACCUUGGGUCCUGCCGAUCCAGCGCCCAACUGUCCACUCCGUUCCGCUCCAGUUUUUCCCACACGAUAUUCUGGUGGGAGGAAACUGGCAGGUGAGUUCGGCGUCCUGGCCGUUGACUCGAACUUGUCCCUGACCCACCAACUGCGGGUAGGCCUCGUUGGUGUAGUAAUCAUCGCGGUAGCCGACACUUUCGUAGUUGAGGCCGUGCAAUGACGUGUAGCCACUGCCCUUGAUCCGGUUACCCAUGUAGCGCGUGGUUCCGGGCAGGUAACCGAAAUCAAGUGGGCGAUAAUCCGACCCGCUGUCAAAAGUGUUGGCCAGGAAUGGAUCUGAAUCGUCCAUCGGAGCUCCCGGAAUGAUCGUCUCGGCCAUCGGCCCCAGCAGCGAUCCCGGCCGACUUUUAGGAAUCAGGGCCGUGACGACGGUGGCCACUAAUAGCGUUGAGCAGUAGAAGAUGAUGAACCGGAUUUGCUUCAUCUUGACGACGACUGGAGAGGUGUACUAAAGCGGACGGACUUGACGUCCGGGCCUUUUAAAUAGACUCCGGCGACGGGGCUCAUAAAAAUGGCAGCGGAUUCAAUGAUGGGAGCCGGAUGACAUUUAGGAUGAUAUCGUGUCCUUGGAUCUUGGCUUGAUGGCGCAGAGAUGAGUGCACAGCGGAAACCGACUUCGUGAUGUGCUUUCACGUUCCUGAGUGGCGCCGUGAAGAAAAUAUUGUUAUUAUACGCGGGACAGGCGAUUUGAGACUCUCGCGACUUUCACUCGCUUGGUGUAUGUACAUUCGUCAUCAACUGUGUGUCCUGUUGCGAUUUUCUUAAUGACCGAGCCGUGUCGUUUCUUUUUUUUUUAUUUCAUAUUUUUCCACGGGUGAACGAGAGGAAUUGACGUCAAUCUAAAAUCCAUUAAAAUCCCGUCCCCCGCGGGUUGGGUUUGUUUUUCGCCUUCUGGCGGGUUUUCGGGAGUGAAAUUUGAUGGUUGUUUGACGUUCGCUGUCGUCAUCGGCGAGCUCAGUUUCUUAAUUACUGUUAUUGUCACAAAGCUUGAAUUUUCUUCUUUGUUCUAUCCUUUUUAUUUUUUAAAAAAAGUUCAAUUGUUUUAAAUUUUUAGAUUUUGCCCUUUUUAUGUGGUUCACCGAGAAUUGAGGAAGUCGCCUCAAAUGUAAUUCGAUCAAAAUAAGCCACCCCGAUACCCCUAUGCACCUCGCGUUAUCGUUACAGGAUGAGAUAGUAUACCCCCCUUGACAGAAGUAAUUAAUCGGGUUCUUAUAUACAUGACGGGAUCAUUCACCUCUCCUCUUCGUGGCUCUAUCUCACCCCAUUCUUCGGGCUUGUUUUUAUUUUUUAUUUUUUUGAAUCCAUUUAUUUGCAGGUGGGUUAUUUAUACAGCAGUUCGUGACUUGGCGAUGCGGUAGUUUAGUUGCAGCAACUAUUGCGUAAAAGUUCCAAGUUUCUUCUUUUUUCUAAACAAUUGUUUUAAAACUGGAUCGUAGAUGUUUCAAAUUUGAAUUCCUUAUACCUAAUUUGAAUCUCGUUUAAAUGUGCUUGGUCAUGUUCAGGGAAAAAAAAUGAAACAUUUGACGUUGUAAUCAUACGUUCGUGCAGGUCCGUUCGGGCAAAAAACCCAAUUUACUUUUAUUAUUGUUUAAAGUUUAUAAUUGGCAGUUUACUGUUUCAUUGUCCUUUCUCUUUUUUCGCGACUCUUUUGUGGAUAAUUUAUUUAAAAUUUAAAUCCUAAGUUGAUUACCUAAAAGUAAAAUAUUGUGUAACAAAGAAAUAAAUUCGAAUUUUGAAUUUACGGAAUUUUAUUCAUUCAUCACUAGAUGGCAAUCCCAAUUAACUGGUAAAUGCAAAUUCGGAAAUCAGAAAUAUUCAAAAAUAUCUGUAGAAUCAAUCCUAAAAAGCCUCGUCACGUAACAAGAAAUUUGAAUCAGAUUCACACAGCACUAUGGGCAGUUAAUGACAAGGCGGCGGUGGUGUUAUGGUUAGCGCUCCGUCAUCGCAUGUUCAAAGUCCGUGGUUCGAUUCCCGCCACCACCUACCAUAUCUACGGUUGUUCCAACAUACCUCCUCGGGCUGUUGGGGCCUUGUGGCACGGGAGUUACUCACAAUGUAACCUAUUCCUAGCCAGAUCGUAGUAGAUUAGUCUUCACCUUAAUUGUGAUGAGGACGGUGCCAUAUUCCAUGAUUCUGUCGAGCUCCUAGUGGGCGAGGAUGGCGUGAGGAGACCAUGGUUCCGACAUUUUUAA